GAUGAACGCUGGCGGCGUGCCUAAUACAUGCAAGUCGAGCGAAGCGGGGACGGGGGAGUAACACGUGGAAACCCUCCUAUAAGACUGGGAUAACUUCGGGAAACCGGAGCUAAACCGGAUAUUUAUAGAUGGAUCAGCGCUGCAUUGGCUAGCUUGUAAGGUAACGGCUUACCAAGGCAACGAUGCAUAGCCGACCUGAGAGGGGGAUCGGACAGACGGGGACUGAGCCACGGUCCAGACUCCUACGGGCGGCAGCAGUAGGGAAUAUUCGGCAAUGGGCGAUAGUCUGACCGAGCAUCGCCGCGUGAGUGAUGAAGGUCUUCGGAUCGUAAAACUCUGUGAUUAGGUAAGCGGUACCUAAUCAGAAAGCCACGGCUAACUACGUGCCAGCAGCCGCGGUAAUUC
rnacentral:rRNA from 1 species